GGGGGGCUUUAAUAAUGAAUGCAUUUGAGAUGGUUACUUUACCUCAAGGUUUGAACCUAUCCGCACUUUUUGACAGGCGACAGGUGAGAAUUUAAUAUUCAUUACAUUUUGGCCUGAAAUCACUGAUGAAUUUCAUUUUGUGAGAAUCCAAGAACGUUACCGCUGUGUAAUUGAUACCAUGAUCCUCAAAUUUGGUGUUGCUUUUAAUUGACAUACUAUUUUCUUUUUAACUGCAUAUCUGGGUCAUCAAUUAUGCAUAUCUGGGUCAUCAAAGUAGUCAUGGAGAGAUUAGCCCACUAUAUGCAAUGCUGGAUUAGAUUUUAAGUAAGCCAAUCUAGAGAGAUUUCGCUGAAUGUGACUUCCAUUUGCUCAAAUAUGGCAUUAAACAUUUCGUUUAGCGAGAAUCAGAAUUCUGAGAGCAUACUUUUGGCUGUUAGCAUUGCAAAGCAUCGUGAAUCCUCCAUUUCCUCUCUCUUAUGGUGUUUUUUGAAUCUUGCAGGAUUUUAUCAGCAGGCAAACUCAUUUUGUUUCCCGGAAACCGGCAAAAGUCGUAAUUUCAUCCAUAGACUGUCACAGAAUCGAUGUGUCUAAAGGUCCACACACGUAAUUUUACAAGACAAGACUUUGAAGGAGUAUUGGCGAACUAGGCUGGUCCAUUUGCUGUUGUCUUGGAGGUCUAUGAAGUUGCAUCCUGUCUCUUCAUGGUUGAUGUUCGAAAGACUGGUGGAGAUACUCUCAAGUAUCACAAGGUGUGCUUGAUAUUCCACAAUAUCGGCAGUAACAAGUUAGCCAUCGACAAUGGCCAUGAUCUGAAAUUCUAUGUGCUUGCAUGGACAUUGGUAGAAAGGAUCGGCUGACAGACUGCUCAAAUUGCAUCUAUUAUAUUGGAAAAGAUAAUGAGUUGUGGAUAGGCUCUAUGGCUUCACAGCGACUGAAUUUAAUAGAUGCAACUCGUAGAAGGAAAUUCCAAGUUCGUUGUCGUGGAUCCAUUCUCAGCAGUUGCUACAAUGCAUUGUUCAAACAUUUCAACUCCAACAAGAGAGAUUAGAAAUUCGUGUUUCAUGCAGUUCUGCAAGAGUUUUUGCCGAAGACUGGAGCAUAUCAUCUGGAAACCAGCAGAGGAGAAUCCCGCUCUGCUUCGAAGGACGACUUGUUGAUUGCAGAUCCUGCCUGCACAAUGCACGUCUUCUGCAUUGGGUCUAGGGAGAGCAGUAUAUUCUUGAGAAUGGGAGAGGGUUUUUUUUCUGUUAUGCUUGUCUUCCCCUCUCCCCCCCGUUGAUAGAUGAAUAUAUAAUAUAAUUGGGGAGUAGUAGUAGAUACGAUUUAUCUUUCGGCUUCCAAAUGUCCAAAUGCUAAGAAUUGGUGGUGUGAUCAUUUUCAUUUAGAUAUCCGACGGAUUGCAUUGGCUUAAA